UGCAGUCGAACGGCAGCACAGAAGAGCUUGCUCUUUGGGUGGCGAGUGGCGGACGGGUGAGUAAUGUCUGGGAAACUGCCCGAUGGAGGGGGAUAACUACUGGAAACGGUAGCUAAUACCGCAUAACGUCGCAAGACCAAAGUGGGGGACCUUCGGGCCUCACACCAUCGGAUGUGCCCAGAUGGGAUUAGCUAGUAGGUGGGGUAAUGGCUCACCUAGGCGACGAUCCCUAGCUGGUCUGAGAGGAUGACCAGCCACACUGGAACUGAGACACGGUCCAGACUCCUACGGGAGGCAGCAGUGGGGAAUAUUGCACAAUGGGCGCAAGCCUGAUGCAGCCAUGCCGCGUGUAUGAAGAAGGCCUUCGGGUUGUAAAGUACUUUCAGCGGGGAGGAAGGCGGUGAGGUUAAUAACCUCGCCGAUUGACGUUACCCGCAGAAGAAGCACCGGCUAACUCCGUGCCAGCAGCCGCGGUAUACGGGAGGGUGCAAGCGUUAAUCGGAAUUACUGGGCGUAAAGCGCACGCAGGCGGUCUGUUAAGUCAGAUGUGAAAUCCCCGGGCUUAACCUGGGAACUGCAUUUGAAACUGGCAGGCUUGAGUCUCGUAGAGGGGGGUAGAAUUCCAGGUGUAGCGGUGAAAUGCGUAGAGAUCUGGAGGAAUACCGGUGGCGAAGGCGGCCCCCUGGACGAAGACUGACGCUCAGGUGCGAAAGCGUGGGGAGCAAACAGGAUUAGAUACCCUGGUAGUCCACGCCGUAAACGAUGUCGACUUGGAGGUUGUGCCCUUGAGGCGUGGCUUCCGGAGCUAACGCGUUAAGUCGACCGCCUGGGGAGUACGGCCGCAAGGUUAAAACUCAAAUGAAUUGACGGGGGCCCGCACAAGCGGUGGAGCAUGUGGUUUAAUUCGAUGCAACGCGAAGAACCUUACCUGGCCUUGACAUCCAGAGAACUUAGCAGAGAUGCUUUGGUGCCUUCGGGAACUCUGAGACAGGUGCUGCAUGGCUGUCGUCAGCUCGUGUUGUGAAAUGGUUGGGUUAAGUCCCGCAACGAGCGCAACCCUUAUCCUUUGUUGCCAGCGGUUCGGCCGGGAAAUCAAAGGAGAAUGCCGGUGAUAAACCGGAGAAAGGUGGGGAUGACGUCAAGUCAUCAUGGCCCUUACGGCCAGGGCUACACACGUGCUACAAUGGCGCAUACAAAGAGAAGCGACCUCGCGAGAGCAAGCGGACCUCAUAAAGUGCGUCGUAGUCCGGAUUGGAGUCUGCAACUCGACUCCAUGAAGUCGGAAUCGCUAGUAAUCGUAGAUCAGAAUGCUACGGUGAAUACGUUCCCGGGCCUUGUACACACCGCCCGUCACACCAUGGGAGUGGGUUGCAAAAGAAGUAGGUAGCUUAACCUUCGGGAGGGCGCU
rnacentral:rRNA from 1 species